rnacentral:sRNA from 1 species
UGUGGGGGCGAGCCUGCUCGCGAUUGCGGUAUGUCAGUCGACAUUGAUGUUGGCUGAUCCAACGCUAUCGCGAGCAGGCUCGCUCCCACA